UGGCGACCGGCGCGCGGGUGAGUAACGCGUAUGCAACUUACCUAUCAGAGGGGGAUAGCCCGGCGAAAGUCGGAUUAAUACCCCAUGAAACAGGGGUCCCGCAUGGGAAUAUUUGUUAAAGAUUCAUCGCUGAUAGAUAGGCAUGCGUUCCAUUAGGCAGUUGGCGGGGUAACGGCCCACCAAACCGACGAUGGAUAGGGGUUCUGAGAGGAAGGUCCCCCACAUUGGUACUGAGACACGGACCAA
rnacentral:rRNA from 1 species